rnacentral:lncRNA from 1 species
UUUCUUGUUUAAUUGUAUUAUCUGAGAUUUUAGAAAAAAUCAAUGUUGAUUUUUGUAUGUUUGGAUUUUUUUUUUUGCUUGAGUGAGAGAUAUAGGAAACAUAAAGAGUUUGAGAGAAUAAGAUAUUUAAAAAUGUUGAGUUUGAGUUGUUGUUGUUGUUGUUUUGACCGACUAAGCAUAUGUGUUUCUUUUUUCUUUUUCUUUUUUUUCUCAUCACCACGUGGCG